GAUGAACGCUGGCGGCGUGCCUAAUACAUGCAAGUCGAGCGAACAGACGAGGAGCUUGCUCCUCUGACGUUAGCGGCGGACGGGUGAGUAACACGUGGAUAACCUACCUAUAAGACUGGGAUAACUUCGGGAAACCGGAGCUAAUACCGGAUAAUAUAUUGAACCGCAUGGUUCAAUAGUGAAAGACGGUUUUGCGGUCACUUAUAGAUGGAUCCGCGCCGCAUUAGCUAGUUGGUAAGGUAACGGCUUACCAAGGCAACGAUGCGUAGCCGACCUGAGAGGGUGAUCGGCCACACUGGAACUGAGACACGGUCCAGACUCCUACGGGAGGCAGCAGUAGGGAAUCUUCCGCAAUGGGCGAAAGCCUGACGGAGCAACGCCGCGUGAAUGAUGAAGGUCUUCGGAUCGUAAAACUCUGUUAUUAGGGAAGAACAAAUGUGUAAGUAACUAUGCACGUCUUGACGGUACCUAAUCAGAAAGCCACGGCUAACUACGUG
rnacentral:rRNA from 1 species